rnacentral:rRNA from 1 species
UACGGAGGAUCCGAGCGUUAUCCGGAUUUAUUGGGUUUAAAGGGUGCGCAGGCGGGAGAUCAAGUCAGCUGUGAAAUGUAUCUGCUUAACGGGUACACUGCAGUUGAAACUGGUUUUCUUGAGUGCGUAAGAGGCAGGCGGAAUUCGUUGUGUAGCGGUGAAAUGCUUAGAUAUGACGAGGAACUCCUAUUGCGAAGGCAGCUUGCUGGGUCGUUACUGACGCCGAUGCUCGAAGGUGCGGGGAUCAAACAGGAUUAGA